CAUGUGGCACAAUGGGUCAGUGCAUCUGGCUGUUAACCGGAAGGUUGGUGGAUCAAGCCCACACGGGGAUGG